GAUGAACGCUGGCGGCGUGCCUAAUACAUGCAAGUCGAGCGAACGGACGAGAAGCUUGCUUCUCUGAUGUUAGCGGCGGACGGGGAGUUAACCGGUGGGAACCUUACCUAUAGAACUGGGAUACUUUCGGAAAACGGGAGCUAAUCCGGGAAAAUAUUUUAAACGGCAGGGUUAAAAGUUAAAAAACGGUUUUGCGGUACCUUAUGGAGGGACCGCGCUGCAUUAGCUAGGUGGUAAGGUAACGGCUUACCAAGGCAACGAUGCAUAGCCGAACUGAGAGGGUGAUCGGCCACACUGGAACUGAGACACGGUCCAGACUCCUACGGGAGGCAGCAGUAGGGAAUCUUCCGCAAUGGGCGAAAGCCUGACGGAGCAACGCCGCGUGAGUGAUGAAGGUCUUCGGAUCGUAAAACUCUGUUAUUAGGGAAGAACACAUGUGUAAGUAACUGUGCACAUCUUGACGGUACCUAAUCAGAAAGCCACGGCUAACUACGUG
rnacentral:rRNA from 1 species